GGAGAAGUACCCAAGUGGCCAUAAGGGGGCGCACUCGAAAUGCGUUAGGGCAGGCAACUGUCGCGUGGGUUCGAAUCCCACCUUCUCCGCCA
rnacentral:tRNA from 1 species